rfam:Novosphingobium subterraneum strain DSM 12447 NJ75_contig000001, whole genome shotgun sequence.
GCCAUCGAUGAUCGCGCCGGUGCCCCCAACGGGGCUUAAUCGGGAAUGCGGUGCGGGAGCGUAGCUCCCAAAUCCGCGGCUGUCCCUGCAACUGUAAGCGGAUAGCGCGAUGCACAUUUUUCCUGCGCGUGCAGGAAAAGCCACUGGACCGCGCAUGAACGCGCAUCUGGGAAGGCGUGCAUCAAGCUGUGACCCGCGAGCCAGGAGACCUGCCGGCGCUCUGGUCGCUCU